rnacentral:rRNA from 1 species
UACGAAGGGGGCUAGCGUUGCUCGGAAUUACUGGGCGUAAAGGGCGCGUAGGCGGAUGUCUAAGUUGGGGGUGAAAUCCCGGGGCUCAACCUCGGAACCGCCUUCAAUACUGGAUAUCUUGAGUUCGGGAGAGGUGAGUGGAAUGCCGAGUGUAGAGGUGAAAUUCGUAGAUAUUCGGCGGAACACCAGUGGCGAAGGCGACUCACUGGCCCGAUACUGACGCUGAGGCGCGAAAGCGUGGGGAGCAAACAGGG